rnacentral:rRNA from 1 species
GAGAGAUCCUGCGCCGAAAAUGUCCGGGGCUCAAACUUACCACCGAAGCUACGGGCUCAAGUUUACUUGAGCGGUAGAGGAGCGUCGUAAUCGGGCUGAAGUCGUACCGUAAGGAGCGGUGGACUGAUUACGAGUGAGAAUGUUGGCAUUAGUAGCGAGAUGUAAGUGAGAAUCUUACAGGCCGAAAAUCUAAGGUUUCCUGGGGAAGGCUCGUCCGCCCAGGGUUAGUCGGGACCUAAGCCGAGGCCGAAAGGCGUAGGUGAUGGACAAUUGGUUGAUAUUCCAAUACCACUAUUAUCGUUAUUAUCGAUGGUGUGACGGAGAAGGAUAGGAUGUGCUAGCGAUUGGAAAUGCUAGUCUAAGCAUUUAGGGAGUUAAGAUAGGCAAAUCCGUUUUAACAAUCCUGAGGUGUGAUGGGGAAGGCCAUUAAGGCUGAAGUAUCUGAUUCCCUGCUUCCAAGAAAAGCAUCUAGAGAGAGAAGUAGUGCCCGUACCGCAAACCGACACAGGUAGAUGAGGAGAGAAUCCUAAGGC